CCUGCAGGGAGGGAAGAACCCUUUUCUAGGAGCUGGAAAGCCUCUUAGAGAUGGACCAUUCACCUCCUCAUCUUGUCACAAGUGAGGAAGUUGGCUUGGAGAGUGACUUGCUCAGGAGCACACAGGAUUAUAGCAGGGACCUGAACUAGACCCAGGCCCCCAACUCCCGCCGCAGUACUCCAGGGUCCAGAAAUCUAACUUCCAUCUAGGGUGGUCAGGCCUGGCCCUGCCUGGAGACGGGCUGUACCAGAGCCUGCUGGAUUUCCUGUCCCUAAAGGGGAAGAAGCUGUGUUUAAACAACCAGAAAAAUCCUACUUCAGAAGGAGAAUACAACCCCUGAGGUCUGUGUGCUUGCAUGCAUCUGUGCUUGCAUGAAGUCUGUGUGCUUGCAUGAGUCUGUGUGCUUGUAUGAGUCUGUGUGCUUGCAUGAAUCUGUGCUUGCAUGAGACUGUGUGCUUGCAUGUGACUGUGUGCUUGCAUGCAUAAUAUGCUCUGUGUGCCCCUGGAUUCUGAGCCAGGCAAGUCCUAUCCAUCUAGUGAGGACAACCUUACUGCUGGCUGCAGAUCUAAGCAUGGCUUCCUGCUCUAACAGUAGCUAAUUCAAUCCACUGUAAUUGGAAAGAUUGUGUCUAGAUUGACUUGUGUAGCCUUCAGUGGCAGCAGGAGAUUGAUUCAAAUGACCUUGGGUACUAAUCAGCUCUACAAAAGUGGCCUCUUGUAGCUGG